rnacentral:rRNA from 1 species
GAUCAAGUGUCUUAAGGGCAAUUGGUGGAUGCCUUGGCAUGCACAGGCGAUGAAGGACGUGAUACGCUGCGAUAAGCUACGGGGAGGUGCGAAUACCCUUUGAUCCGUAGAUUUCCGAAUGGGGAAACCCACCUAAGGUGCUUGGAAAAUCAGAGUAGCAGGGCAACCUGCUGCUGUGGUUUCCAAGUAUCGAUAAUAGGUAACUUACCCUGAAUAAAAUAGGGGUAAAGUGGCGAACGCGGGGAACUGAAACAUCUAAGUACCCGUAGGAAAGGACAUCAACCGAGACUCCGGCAGUAGUGGCGAGCGAACCCGGACCAGGCCAGUGGCGAUGAUGAGACAAGCGGAACCUUCUGGAAAGUAGGGCCAUAGUGGGUGACAGCCCCGUACGCGUAAUGCAAAUCAUCGUCCUCGAGUAAGGCGGGACACGUGAAAUCCUGUCUGAAAUUGGGGGGACCACCCUCCAAGCCUAAGUACUCGUGCAUGACCGAUAGCGAACUAGUACCGUGAGGGAAAGGUGAAAAGCACCCCGACAAGGGGAGUGAAAGAGUACCUGAAACCGAUUGCCUACAAACAGUGGGAGUCCAAGGUUCGUCCUGGGUGACCACGUACCUUUUGUAUAAUGGGUCAGCGACUUAGUGUGACGAGCAAGCUUAAACCGCUAGGUGUAGGCGCAGCGAAAGCGAGUCUGAACAGGGCGUUCAGUUCGUCGCAUUAGACCCGAAACCGAGUGAUCUAGCCAUGAGCAGGUUGAAGGUAAGGUAACACUUACUGGAGGACCGAACCCAUAACUGUUGCAAUAGUUCGGGAUGACUUGUGGCUAGGGGUGAAAGGCCAAUCAAACUCGGAAAUAGCUGGUUCUCCGCGAAAUCUAUUUAGGUAGAGCGUCGACCGAAUACCCCAGGGGGUAGAGCACUGGAUGGGCUAGGGGUCCUCACCGGAUUACCAAACCUAACCAAACUCCGAAUACCUGGGAGUACUAGUCGGCAGACACACGGCGGGUGCUAACGUCCGUCGUGAAAAGGGAAACAACCCUGACCUACAGCUAAGGUCCCCAAGUUAUGGCUAAGUGGGAAAGGAUGUGAGGAUCCCAAAACAACCAGGAUGUUGGCUUAGAAGCAGCCAUCAUUUAAAGAAAGCGUAACAGCUCACUGGUCUAAAUAAGGGUCUUUGCGCCGAAAAUGUAACGGGGCUCAAGCCAUACACCGAAGCUUAGGGUUCGUGAGCAAUCACGAGCGGUAGCGGAGCGUUCUGUAAGCUGAUGAAGCCAUACCCGUGAGGGGUGGUGGAGGUAUCAGAAGUGCGAAUGCUGACAUGAGUAACGUAAGGGGAGUGAGAGACUCCCCCGCCGAAAGUCCAAGGGUUCCUGCUUAAAGCUAAUCUGAGCAGGGUUAGCCGGCCCCUAAGUCGAGGCAGAAAUGCGUAGACGAUGGGAACCACGUUAAUAUUCGUGGGCCUGGAGGAAGUGACGGAUCAUUGAGGUAGUCCAAUCUUAUCGGAUUGAAAGGGCUGCUGCGUGGUUCCAGGAAAUAGCUCCUCCUUAUAGACCGUACCCGAAACCGACACUGGUGGACUGGUAGAGUAUACCAAGGCGCUUGAGAGAACUAUGCUGAAGGAACUCGGCAAAUUGCACNNNNNNNNNNNNNNNNNNNNNNNNNNNNNNNNNNNNNNNNNNNNNNNNNNNNNNNNNNNNNNNNNNNNNNNNNNNNNNNNNNNNNNNNNNNNNNNNCACGCGUAACUUCGGAAGAAGCGUGACCCUUUUCCACGCAAGUGGAGGAGGGUGGCACAGACCAGGGGGUAGCGACUGUUUAUCAAAAACACAGGGCUCUGCGAAGUCGCAAGACGACGUAUAGGGUCUGACGCCUGCCCGGUGCUGGAAGGUUAAGAGGAGGGGUGCAAGCUCUGAAUCGAAGCCCCAGUAAACGGCGGCCGUAACUAUAACGGUCCUAAGGUAGCGAAAUUCCUUGUCGGGUAAGUUCCGACCUGCACGAAUGGCGUAACGACUUCCCCGCUGUCUCCAGCAUAGACUCAGUGAAAUUGAAUUCCCCGUGAAGAUGCGGGGUUCCUGCGGUUAGACGGAAAGACCCCGUGCACCUUUACUAUAGCUUUACAUUGGCAUUCGUAGUGGCAUGUGUAGGAUAGGUGGUAGGCUUUGAAACCUGGGCGCCAGCUCAGGUGGAGCCACCCUUGAAAUACCACCCUUAUCACUAUGGAUGUCUAACCGCGGCCCGUUAUCCGGGUCCGGGACAAUGUAUGGUGGGUAGUUUGACUGGGGCGGUCGCCUCCUAAAGAGUAACGGAGGCGCGCGAUGGUGGGCUCAGAACGGUCGGAAAUCGUUCGCUGAGUGCAAUGGCAUAAGCCUGCCUGACUGCGAGACUGACAAGUCGAGCAGAGACGAAAGUCGGUCAUAGUGAUCCGGUGGUCCCGCGUGGAAGGGCCAUCGCUCAACGGAUAAAAGGUACGCCGGGGAUAACAGGCUGAUGACCCCCAAGAGUCCAUAUCGACGGGGUUGUUUGGCACCUCGAUGUCGACUCAUCGCAUCCUGGGGCUGGAGCAGGUCCCAAGGGUAUGGCUGUUCGCCAUUUAAAGCGGUACGUGAGUUGGGUUCAGAACGUCGUGAGACAGUUCGGUCCCUAUCUGCCGUGGGUGUAGGAAUAUUGAAAGGAUCUGUCCCUAGUACGAGAGGACCGGGAUGGACGGAUCUCUGGUGGACCUGUUGUGGCGCCAGCCGCAUAGCAGGGUAGCUAUAUCCGGACGGGAUAACCGCUGAAGGCAUCUAAGCGGGAAACCCACCUUAAAACGAGUAUUCCCUGAGAACCGUGGAAGACGACCACGUUGAUAGGCCGGGUGUGGAAGAGCGGCAACGCUUGAAGCUUACCGGUACUAAUAGUUCGAUCGGCUUGAUCGUUCUCAUU